rnacentral:lncRNA from 1 species
GGUCCUUCAAGUAAAGCUUCUCUUGAUUAUGCCUCAAAUGUCAGACUAGAAAAUUUGUAAGAGAUUAGUGAAUCAUAUAAAUACAUUUCAUAAGAGUAUACUAUUUACAGUAUGAUAGUGAGUAGGAAUUAAUCUAAUAUUCACACGAAUUAAGAGCUACUGACCAAAAUUUUCAUAUUUUUUUCAUUGUGCAUUCUGAAAUGUUCCUUUUAGGUGAUCUUAAACAUCCCUAAUUUCAACAUGUUCCUUUCAAAGUUUCUCUACUCAGCGCCUUAGUGAAGAUCUCAGCUAUUUGUUUAUCAGUAGCAUAGAAUUCUAUGAAGAUUAGCCCUUUCUCAUAGUUGUCUCUUAAAAAGUGGUGCCUAAUAACUUUGUGCUUAGUCUUUUUAUGAUUAACGGGGUUCUUUGUCACACUAAUUGCACUAGUGUUAUCACAAAAUAUGGGUAUGCACCCCACUUCAAUUCCAACGUCUACUGGUUAUUGCUUAAUCCAUAGUAAUUGAGCACAACAUGAAGCAUCUACAACAUAUUCAGCUUCAGCAGUAGAGAGAGCCACUGAGUUCUGCUUUUUGGUAGCCCAUUAUACAAGACAAGACUCUAGGAAGUGUGCCAUACCUGAAGUGCUCUUCCUGUCCACUCACAACCCUGCAUAGUCAGAUCCGCAUACCUAAUUAAGUCAAAAUUACUACCUUUAGUAUACAACAGGCACAGAUCAGUUGUGCCUUUCAAGUAUCUCAAUAUCCUUUUGACAGUUGUCAAAUGUGACUCCGUUGGAUUUGCCUGGAAACGAGCACAAACUCCUACACUGAAACAAUGCCAGGUUGGCUGGUAGUAAGAUACAAUAGUGAACCAAUCAUACCCCUAUAUAACUUUUGAUCAACUAAUGAACCAGGUUCAUCAGCAUCUAGUUUUGUGGUAGCUGCUAUAUUUGUAUCUAUUUCUUUGGAUUCUUCCAUAUUAAACUUCUGGAUUAGUUAUUUUGUGUACUUCUACUGAUGGAUCAUAGUUCCAUGUGGACUUUGUUUGAUCUGUAACCCCAAGAAAAAAUUGAGUUUGCCCAUCAUGCUCAUUUCAAAGUCACUUCGCAUUAGAUUAGCAAAGUCCUUACUCAACAUAUCUGUAGUUGCCCCAAAUAUUAUGUCAUCAACAUAUAUUUGUACAAUAAGAAGAUCUUUACCUUUUUUCUCUUGGAAACAAAGUGCUGUCAAUUUUACCUAUUUUGCACCCAUGCUCCAGAAGGAAAUUUGACAAUCUUUCAUAUCAAGCUCUUGGGACCUGCUUGAGAUUGUAGAGAGCUUUACUUAGCUUGUAUACAUGAUCAGGGCAUUCUUUGCUUUCGAAUCCUAGAGGUUGUUUCAUAAACACUUAUUCUUUGAGAUAACCAUUUAGGAAGGAACUUUUGACAUCUAUUUGAUAAAGAGUGAAUUCCAUAUGUGAUGCAAAGGAUAUGAGGAGUCUAAUUUCUUUAAGUCUGGCAACUGGAGCAAAUGUCUCAUCAUAGUCAAUGCCUUCCUCUUUACAAUAGCCUUGAACUACUGACUUUGCAUUAUUUCUUGUAAUUGUUCCAUCUUCAUCUAGUUUGUUCCUGAAGACCAAUUUUUUCCCAAUGUCUAAUCUGUCCUUGGGUCUUGGAACCAAUUACCAGAAUUGGCUUCUUUCAAAUUGAUUGAGCUCAUAUUGUAUAGCAUUGACCCAAUAUGCAUCUUGUAGAUAUUCACUCACACUUUAGUUUCAAUAAGGGACAAAUGGCAUCAAAUGCACACAAGUUAUUCAAUUGAGAUCUAGUUUUGACUCCAAAUGUUGGAUCAUUGAUGAUGUUCUCAUUAGGAUGAGAAAUCAGGUACUUGUAUGAUUUACCCACCAGCUGGUUCCUACUAGAUGCUUCUUCAUUGUAAUACAGCCGAGGAACAGGUUCAGGUACAUGUUCCUUUAGAGAAUUUUGUUCAUUUUCUCUCAGAUUGGUUCCCCCUGUCAGGUUGCCCUGGGUGGAAGAACCUGUUCCAUCACCUAUUCCUUUCUUUGAUGCCACUUUGACUUGCGUUGUAGCUUCAGUCAAUUGUCUCACCAGUCCGAUGACUUCAUCUUUAUGUUCCUGUCUCUCAAAAAGAAUGUUAGAUUCAUCAAAUACAACAUUCUACACACAAAGUUCUUUUAUUAAAUACUUUACAUGCUUUGCUAUGUGAAGAAUACUCUCUCAUCAAUUUAGGGAUCAAACUUACCUAGAGAGUCUUUGCCAUUAUUGUGCACAUAGCACUUGCUUCCAAAAGCCCUAAGAUGGGAUAUGUUUGGUUUUCUCCCUUUAAGUAACUUAUAGGGAGUUUUCUCUACAAGAGGUUUAGUCAUGCAUAUAUUUAUUAAAUUACAAGAAGUGUUUAUAGCCUCUGCUCAGAAGCUGUGAGGUAGUUUACUGGAAAGAAGCAUGGUUCUUGGCAUAUCAUCAAGGUUCAUGUUCUUCCUCUCAACUUCCCCAUUUUGCUGAGGGAUCCUAGGGGCAGAGAAUUAUGAUCUAUUCCAUUUUCAUCACAAAAUUCAGCAAACUUUGCAUUUUAAAAUUCAAUUCCAUGAUCAUAUAUAAUGGAUGCAAGUUUAUUUCCUAAUUGUUUCUCGGUUUUUCUUACAAAAGCAGCAAACAUUUCAAAUGUUUCAUCUUUAUAGGUUAGAAACAACACCCAGGUAAAUCUUGAAUAACCAUCAACAAGCAUCAUUAUAUAUCUUUUACCACCUCUGUUCAUGGCUCUCAUUGGACCACAAAGAUCCAUAUGAACAGUUCCAACGUCUCUGACGUACUUACCAUUUUAUUGGGUUUGAAGGAUGAUCUUACCUGCUUCUCCCUUACACAUUCCUCACAAACUUUGUCUUUCUUGAAUUUGAUAUUAGGUAACCCUAUCACCAAGUCAUUUGAGGCUAAUUUGUUCAGUUGAUUUAGACUGGCAUGGCCAAGUCUUUUGUGUUAAAGGAGGAGAUUAUUAAUUAACACACUUAAGGAAGUGAGUUAAUUUUCAGAGAGAGCUGACAUGUCUACAAUGUAAAUAUUGUUAACUCUUCUUCCCUGCCAAACAAUCUGCUCAGUAUUAAGGCUAAUCACAAAACAUUUUGUGGAAGUGAAAGUCACAAUGUUACCUCUGUCAUAUAGUUGUGACACAUUGAUCAGGCUAUAUUUUAAGCCAUCAAUCAAAUAGACAUUCUCAAUGGAAUGAGAGUCUGUCUAUCAUACCUUCCCAACUCUAAUGAUCUCACCUUUCUUUCCAUUUCCAAAGGAUACAUGACCUCCUUUUAGGUUCUCAAGUGAAAGGAACUGGUCCUUGUUACCAGUCAUAUGUUUUGAGCAACCACUAUCCAUGUACCAUAUUUGGCUACUCCCCUUCACUUGGACCUCUUGUUCAUCUUUUGAUUCUCCGAUGGCCAUGAUAGCUUGCUCAUCUUCAGUUUCAUUUUUGAGUCCUCAUCUGACUUUUCUCCCAUGCAGCAACCAUAACUUUAGUUGAUCCUUUGUUCCUUCUUGGUUGAAACUGUUCCUUCUUCAUGUUUCUUCUGUCUGCCCUUUCUUUCUUCCAUUUAAUCUCCCACUGAGGGCAGUUUUAUGUGAUCUGUCUUUCCACACUUAAAUAAAUCAUCAUUUUUCUGGUUCUCAGGAGCCCUAGGUUUGUUGAAUGUUGUUCCUCUUGAAGGACCCUUUCCUCUCAGAAGAUACUUCUUGAAAUACCUAGUUAUCGUAGCCAUUUCAUCGUCUUCAAGAUCUGAUCCUUCUGAGAUUCAGAGAGCCAAACUUCUUUCUUUCUUUGGAGCAUCCAUCUUCAUUGUCUGCCUUUGCAAUUCCUAGGCAGUAAGAUUUCCAAUCGCUUCAUCCAAUUUUAAAGUAGCAAUUUUUUUGGAUUCCUGAAUAGUUGUGAUUUUGCUUUUCCAGGUGAUUGACAGAACUCUUGUUAGGAUCUUCUCCACCUUGUCUUCUUCCAGGAUAGUCCUCCCAAGAGACUCAAGUUUAUUUGUUAGUGUAGUGAACCAAUUUACAUCUCUUGGAUAGUUUCUCAGUCCUUCAUCAUAAAAUUCUCAUAUUGAGAAUACAACAAUGUUCAUCUUGACCUCUUCACUUGAGGUGUUCCUUCAUGAGCCAUUUGUAAAGUGUCCAAAUUCUCCUAGGCAUUAAUGCAACCUUGAAUGCUGUUGUGCUCAUCAAGACCAAGUCCACACACUAGCCAUUUCUUGGCCUUAGCAUUUUUCUCCCACUUAUUUAGGUCUUCUACGGUACAAUCUGCUCUAGUCUUUGGAACAUCUAAUGCUUCAGCGGUCUUCUUGGUUGUGGCUAAAGGACGAUCACUGAUGAUAUCCCAAAGCUCAUAAUCUUCACCCAUGAUAGGGUCUCUCAUUCUAUUUUUCCACCAGGAGUUGUAGAGGCCAUUGAAAAUAUGAGGCCUGCCGGUGGAUUGCCCUUCCCAAUUCUUAGGUGGUGCACUCAUGUUGAUAUUUUCCUAAGGUGUUAACCUCUUUAAAUAUAACUCGAUCUGAUAGCAAUUGAUGUUAUUAAUCGUCAAUACCAUACAAGAAGGGGGUGAUUAGUGUGGUACCCAAUUUUCAAUCUAGAAGAACCUGGUUCUUCUAGGUGUUCUUACUAGCUAAUGUUUGUAGAAUUAAAUAAACAAAAAUAAAGAACACAGGGAUUUUUACGUGGAAAACACCUUGCUCAAAAGGUGAAAAAACCACGACCUACUACUCAGUAGGAUUUUCCCAAACUUCCACUUAAAUCAAUGAGCAAAAAUAACAUUUACAGAAACUCUUUAUAAACCUAAGGAUAAAACUCUAAUCCUAGUGUGGCACUUAACUCCUGUGACACUAUCAAGUUAACUAUAACUUGAAUACUCACAGUACCUAAUACAAUUGCUUCUAUGAAAGCUGAAAGAUACAAUAUGAAAACUUACUAUAAUUGGACUAGACUUAGAAUAAACACAAUGAUGGAACUGGUUCUUCUACCUUAGUUCAUGUAGUUUCAGGCAUGCACACUUGUAUCUCAUAUAUAUUGCUUGCAAGUCAGACUUGCUAUUUUUGCUCUCAAUUAUACUUGACUUUUGUGUAUGUGCAUUACCUGUAAAAGAGAACAACUUGGUUAUUUAAUAGAUUAACAAUUAGAUUUUGAUCGAGACUCCAAUGCUUAUUCUUAGUCGAUUUGAGUCCUAACCAAUACAAAAUCCAAUCCUUAUCCUAGCUUAGGAUUGUGUUCUCUUAUCAUAAGGAGAUUGUCCUCCUUAGAACUCAAUGCAAUCUUUUUGAUUCAGUUCAGAAGAUAUUCGCUGUGUGAUCUUUAAUUCAUAUUUUCCUCACGUGCCUCGCAUGUGCAAUGGUUAUGACAAACUGUGUCUCUCAAGAUGGACUAGGUCCUUCCCUGAGUUCAUUUGUCAAUCUUCAAAACUUCAACUGAACUUGGGCCAACAACUAUAGAUGAGCAAUGUGUGUUUACUUGAUAAUAAUUACUAAUGGUGGAUCGGGACGAUCGCCUCGGUAGAAAUAGAUGCAUCUAUGAUUCAUAUCAUUUGACCCUUUAGCAUUGCACAAUUAUUAUUAUGUUGGACCGGAUCGUACGACCUCGGCAUAAUAUGUGCAUAUUUUUCAUGUGGAAUUCAUCCAUGUCUUACUCUGCUUAAAAAAAUAUUGAAAUGUAAAAUCCAAUAUUACAUGACUGAAAUUAAUAUGUAUAUUGUUUGUUUCUCCUUGUUCAGAGACGGUCCUUAUAUUCAUGUUAUUCAUUCUUAGUGUUGUAACGACCCGACCGGUCGUUUUGAGAAUUUGUACUUCACUCGUCAAUUCUCGGGUAUUACUAGCCGAGUAUGAUAAAUUAUGACUUAUGCUAAUCAUUGUUUUGAUUUUCAGGAUAAUCGACAUAGAUUUGGAAGGACAAUUUUUAAUUUAAAGCAUUAAAUUUGAAAGGAUUAACAAAGCUUUGACUUUUCAUUAUUUGAUCUCAGAUUUGUAUUUUUAUAAUUUGGUUUAUAUGAUUUUACACUUGGUAGGAGUAGGAAUACGAUCUGGAGGUCCGUGGAAUAUUUAGGCUUGAAUUGGUGAAAUUGAAAAUUUAGAGUUUCCGAUCAGCAUGGAAAAUCAUGAUAUCAGGGUCAGAAUGAAAUUUCGAAAUUUGGAGUAGGUUCGUAGUGUCAUUUGUGAACUGUGUGCAAAAUCUAACGUCUCGAACAAGGUUAGUUAGGUUUGGGCGUUGUUUGUGGAAUUUGGAAAUUUUGAUGUUCUUAAGCUUGAAUCUGAGGUUCAUUUGGCAUUUUAUUUUUUUGACUUAUUCGAAGGUAAGACUAAUUUUGAAUGAUGUUAUGGGAUAUAUUGAAAUGUUUGGUUGAGUUCCCGAGGGCCUUUGGUGUGUUUUGGGUGUUCAUUGGGUCAUUUUUUGGACUUAAGGAGUUUGUUGGUUUGCCGUUGUUCUACAGAUGGUAUGUUCUUCAUCACGAUCACGGGAGGAGGUUCAUGAUCGCGUAGGGUAAAAGGGAUGCCAACUGGGUUCAUUCUUCACGAUCGCAGAGAACGGGACGCGGUCGACUAGGUCAGUCAGAUUGUGCAACACAAACGCUUGGUCCAGGCCGCUUUCACAUAGAUGAAAUAUGGUGGCAGAGGAAAAGUUGGUGUUAUCCUUCGCGUUUGCAUGAAGAAAUCAUGAUUGCGUAAGUCGGAGGGACCACUAUAUCAUGUUUGCAUGUAGAGUAACACGGUCACAUAGAGUCAAAUGUUGAGGCAAAAAAGUUGUUCUUCGGGAUUACAAGGGUGUUUCUGCGAUCGCGAUUAAAGAAAUGUUUGGGCGGAAUGUGUAUGUUCAAAAACGAAAGUGUUGGUCCAUAAUUUCAAAUUUUCAUUAUAGACCUUUGGAUAAGGAGAUUUUGGAGGGAAUUGUUAUUUAAUGGAUUGGGGUAAGUGUUCUUAACUCCAAUUUGGAUAAAUCCCAUGAUUAUGUCUUCAUUCUUGUCGUUUAAUUUUGGAAUUUAGGGUGAAUAUUAGGGAGAAUGGAAGAAAAGUUGGAGAGUUCAUUUUGGGGAUUGGGAUGGCCAUUCGAUGUCGUAUUUUUGUGAAUUUGAUGGAUAGACUCGUGAGCGAAAGGAUUUUCUAGUUUUGUAAUUUUUGUCGGAUUCUGAGAUGUGGGCUCGGAGGUUGGGUUUUAGCCAAUUUCAGGAUUUUUAAGUUUAUUUGAUUAUCUUCACUUGGGAUUGGUUCCUUUAGUGUAUAUUGAUGAAAAUAUGCUGGUUUUUGGUUAGAUUUGGAGAAUUUAGAGGGAGGAAAAGGUAUAGAGUUUAGGCAGAUUUGAGGUAAGUAAUGGUUGUAAAUAUUGUCCCGCGGGUAUGAAAUCCCGGAUUUCACAUCGUUUCACUACUUUGAGGUAACUCACACUCUAGAUAACGAGCGUGGGGUAAUGCACCAUUUGGGAUUGUGACUUGGUCAGUCCCGUAUGACUAUUAUGUCACGUAUUUGAUUGAAAACUAUUUGCAACUAUUGUGUUUUGGAAAGUAUUACUAUGUUUUGGGUUGGAUGCCAUAUUUGGGCCUCGUUCCAACUGUUUGGACCCUUAGAGGCUUUUUUUACUGAAAUUACUCACUAUUUUGAUUUAAUAAUUGUACUCAGUCAUACUAUGUUUUACAGAUUUCAUAACUCAGUCUUAUUUACCUUAAUUUGAUGCAUAAAUUAUAUUUUGACUGAGCAUCAUAUUUUACUAUAGCCCGAGUGGCUUGAGAAGUUUCUAAUUGAGUGAGGCCGAGGGCCUCUGUUGUGAGGAUAUCAUGGGAUCGGGUUGCGCACUGAAGCAUAUUAUACUAAUUUGUAAUAUAUUAGAGGCUGAAGGCCUGAUUUAUUUGCCACGAGGUGGCUUGUUAUGUGAGGUCAAGGUCCUGAUUGAUUAUGCCACGAGAUAUAUUGUUAUAGCACGGCUUGUUAUAGUUGUGCUGUACGAGUCCCUCUGGAAUUUGAACACCCUAGUGACUGCGGGUGCCCAUUGUGAGUGACGUUAUAUAUACCGAGGGGGUGUUGUUGAUUCUUAUUGUUGCCCAAGGGGCUGAUUAAAAAUGAUUGUGAGCUGGCUCGAGGGGCUAUACUUGAUUCAUAUUGUUUUUCUAGGAGCUGGUUCAAUUGUUAUUUUGCCCGAAUGGUGGUUUCAGGUACAUGUUUUACCCGAUGGACUAUUUACGUUUCUAUCAUUUUUACUCAUUAUUUUCAUCACUUAUUUAAAACUACUAAAAAUGUUUUAAAAGGGAAGGUUUUACUGAAACUGAGUUUGUUUUACGAGAUAAAUGAUUUUUGUAUCGUUUUGGGCGAUGUACUAUUUUUGUUGUGAUGUUAUGACGUGGAAUUAUCUAUUUUCUUAUUGGUUAACUUUCAUUUAAUUUUAAUUCUUAGUGGGUUGGCGUGCUGACGUUACUCCAUGCACCUUGUGUGCAGAUCUAGAAGUUGCUUGUUACAACAGUGAGAAUUGAUCAUCCAUUCAGUAGGAUUUCUGAGUUGACAAGGUAGCUUCAUGGCGUUCGCAUCCCUAUUCUUCUCCCUCAUAUCUUUCCUAGAUUUAUUUAGUAUUGUCUUUCAGACUUUGUUAGGCUUUAUUUAAUUGAGAGAGUUGUAGUUGCUCGUGACUUGUGAUACCCUGAUGUCGGGCUUGUGCAUUUAUUCCGCACUAGUUAUUCAGACUUAUGUAAUGAAAUUUCUAGUUAAGUAAUGAAUUAACAUGACUUUUAUAAAAUAAUGUUUCGAGUUGGGAAUUAGUUUGGCUGGCCUAGUUUUGCGAUUGACGCCAUCACGACCGGGUCAGAUUUACGGUCGUGAGAAGUUGGUAUUAGAGCCUAGUUUACAUAGGUCUCACGAGUCAUGAGCAGGCUUAAUAGAAUCUCAUAGAUCGGUACGGAAACGUCUGUACUUAGCCUCAAGAGGCUACAGAACCUUUAGGAAAUCCCACAUUCUUGAAUUCUUAUUGUGCGUCAUUGAUUAAGCCCAAAAUGUAUCUCUUGAAAUUCCUUCCACGCACUUGCAUGUGCGCAUGGGUGCUCAGUAUCCGCUAUGAAAUGACUAGUGAUUCCCUAAAUGAGAGGUAAGGCGUGAUUUCUGUGUGUUGAUGUUGGGCUAGUCUGGAGGACUUGAGGUCGAGUUUUGCCUGUAGCUUGAGCACUAAGGUGUUGAUUGUAUGAGCACGUGAAUUUGGAUUUAUAUGUUCGAUAGUGUACCUAUUAGUGGGAGUUAUAACUGCAAGGCUACAUGAUGAGCAUGAUGUGACUGUGAGAUGUGUUCAUAUGAUUUGAAUUUGACGAUAAGGGUUUGCUUGAGGGUACAAAGAACUUUCGGGUACUCGAUUUCUACCGUGAUUUGAUGUAUAGCCCCGAGUUAUGGGUGUGUUGAAGGAUUCUUUUUAUGUUGUUUCGAUGGGGAGCAAAGUAAAUUUCAUAUUAUUAUAUGAGCUCAAACUUAGGAAGAUCAAGUGAUUGCGUGAUGUUCAUGAUGGUGGAAGGGUAUGAAGAGAUAUUAGUGUCAUACCUCCUUUCUCACUUACACCCGCAAGGGCGUAAAUGAGUUUUUCCAAUUAAAGGAUAAUCAGAACGGGAUUUAGUUAUUAAUUAUUCAGAGUUUCCACUUGGGAGAUUAAUGGUAUCUCAUGUCACCGGUUAAAUCCUGAGUCAAGGAAAAUCAUGACUCUAUUAACAGACCCCGAACCAGAGAUCCGGAUAAGGAAUUCUGUUAACUCGGGAGAAAGUGUUAGGCAUUUUCAGGUUCCGUGGUUCUAGCACGGUCGCUUAACUAUUGCCUUUAGGUUUUAUCUAAUUUUAUUAUAUGAAGAACGUAUGUUCCAAUAUUACCUUUUACCGCUUUUAUUUAAUAUGUAUUUAUUUAAGAGAAAGUGAACGUCAUUUAAAGGGUGCUUUCGGAUCGCGUCGCAUGAAAUGAACCCGCAACCUUAAGCACACUCUAUUCAACGUUUUGGAAUAUUAUUUGGGUCGCAUUAAAUGCACACCUGAGUUUAAGAGGGUAAUUUUAUUAGAAUCGUGUCCAAAUGAGUCUAACGCAUUAUUAUCUUCUAGGAGGAUCGUAAAAUUCGCUAAGCGACCCUUCCCGGUUUUCUAAUUAUUUUCAAACCUUUAUUGAGGGCCUCGCAAUUUUGUAUUUCAUUGGGCGAGGCUCGUCUUAUUUUAUUUUAAAGGGUAAACCCGAUAGCGACUACAUUUUCUAUUUUUGUUUUUGUCUCUAGAAGAAGAAAAAAGAUCUUAAUCAAUUAUUAUUGGAAGAAAAUUGGGUCUCAAAUUCAAGUCCGUGCCCAAACAAAAGGGAGUGCCUUAUAGCUUGAACCCGCUACAUAAUUCAAAUCCAAAACUUAUGUUAUUGCCAAAUAUUGAAUUGAACAUUUCUAAAACACGCCCAAAUGGCUAGCCUAGUGAACCAGGCCCAUAGAAGAGCCCCAUUCCGGUUUUCCAUAGCGUUUUAAUAGGACCUAGAGUUCGAUUCCCCACAGUUAUAUCAUAUAACACCCAAAUGGCCUUUUUCUUUAACUUACUUACUUUUAUUAAUGAAUUCCCAACUCUUAUCAAUAAUGACAACUAAAUAAGAAUUAGGAACCUGAUUUUAACAACAGGAACGAAGAUUUAAGUAUUUGAUUUCACUGGAACCUCUGCUUAAACAAAUCAAUGAUCCUCAAACUUUGAACAUACAUAUAUUUUGAAACUGAUUCGAUCAUUACUCAAUUGGUUUCCGAUUCACAUAAAACGGGACUGUUGACACUACUAUGAAACACGAAUCAGACUUAGCAUCAUUUAAAGUUGAAACUACACACACCAUACUAUGCUAUACCAAUAACAUACAUUAAACCAACAUAAACUACUAAACCUUCCUCUGAAAAUCCAAACAGUCCUUGCAUCAAACAAAUUAGAAAACAAUCCUAGUUUGAAUACACCAAGAAACUAAUUAAAAACAUAACGAAAUGAUAAAAAUGGGAUUUCUCAAUAGGAACCCCGCAUCAAUUUGAUUUUAUAUUUUGCAUAAGCGAAGCUACAUCAAGCUAAGUAUAGUCAAUACCUAGAAAUGUGAAAUAACAAAGGAGAAGAGAGAAGUCAACUAGGUUGCAGCAGUAUACAACAGCAAAUGUGUAAUUUCCAACGGUAAGAGUAGUAGGAAACACGGCUAGUGUCAAACAGUAAACAACAGUAAUAACUUGGAACAAAUUGGACCCAAAAUGACUUCACAAAUCCAAGCAAAACUACAGGAAGGCCACAUCCAGUAAAGGACUCCAGAACGACUUAAUUGCAACCAAAACCCAUCGACAUUCACCCAGAAAUUCCCUUAGAACCACAUCAACUAGAAGUUGAGCCAAACAUGGAAACCAACAACUAAUAAUUGAAAUCCAUUCGCAUCUUAAGGAAACAGUAAACUUAUUUUUGAUUUUUUCAGUUUAUUGUAUUGUUUUUGGGUUUUCUGUGAUAUCUAAGAUCUAAAACAAACAAUCUUAACUCCUAUUCAUUCUAAAAUUCAAAAAACAGAUUCAGAUCUAUGGGGAGGAUUUUGGGGGAAUUUUGGGCUGCCAAACUUGUGAAUAAAGGCAUAGGAAUGCUAUUUUAUAGGCAAAGUGAGGGGUAGCCCUCAAAUUUUCAGUUUUUAAUUUUUGUCCCUUAAUUCCUAUCUUGUUUCCCAAGUAACUACUACCAAAAUUAUUAAAACUUACACUAAAGCCUCAUUUGGAAUGUCCUGGAAGGUUCUACCUCCAUCAACCAUGUUCAUAUGCCAUUGCAAAUACCUAUACUAACCUUACUUGCAUUAUAAAAUUACCAUGUCUUAACAAACUGAACCAUUUUCAACGCCCAAACUACCCCUGAAAUUCCCUUGAAAUUACUAACACUAAUAAACAUAUCAGCUAUAUCCAAUCAACUAAAGUUAAUUACCUUGAUAAUGAACAAUGAAAUGAAUAAAACUAAAACUAAACCUAAUUAAACAACCAAACACGAAUGCUCAAAACAACCAUUGAAUCGAAGUCGAACCUAAACGAAAAUACAACUUAACUAAUCAAUUUUACUAAUUAAACCCAUACUCAACAGUGGACUACCAAAACAAAUAAAAAUCGAACUAAUGUGAACUAAUUAACUAACAUUUGAGCAUGAAACUGACCAACAUUAGACCAACAUAGCACCGGAAUAAAAUCUAAUGAGAAUCAAAGCUUAAAGAAGAACAAAAAGAUAACUAAAAAAAGAAAUGAGAAGGGAGACUAACUGAAUCCGGACUUCUCGCGGCCAAAUCAUCGAAUAUGAUUUUUGAUUAAUGUUAUCCGUCUAUUUUAUCAGAAUAACAUCAAAUAAAAAUCAGUCGACAUGAAAAACACCCAAAAAGGACUUGGACAUCAAGAACCCUAGAUUGGAAAUUGGAGGAGGCUUGGUGAUAUUCAAAGUGAAAUACCCACAUAUUUAAGCAGAGGAAGAUUAGGUGACUGUUUGGUAUCAAUUUAGGAUUAUUUGGACAAACUCGUGACUCGGUCGGAAUGAUUAAAUUGAAGAUUCUAGGAGUUGAAUUAUGACUCGAGGGAUUUCUAGGGUGGGAAUGGAAAGAGCAAGGGAAGGUGGAUCUGUGGUGAAAAGUUUGGGUCAUUUCGAGCUCCGCCGGUGGCGGCGAUGAUUUUCAGUCGGCAGCGAACGGUGCAGUAAUGACGGAGACGGGAGGCGUUAUUGUGGUACGAGGAAGGGGGAUUUUAUUUUUUAGGAUUAUUUUAUUUUCGGAGCAUAUUAUAAUUAGGAAAGAAUAAUCCUUAGUCAUUGGAUCAGUCAAGAUGAAAGGGUGUGAUUGCUUGACAUCUAAAUGCAGUCGCUUUGGUUGAGAGGAUUUGGACCGGGCUGAGGAACGCGAGUCUAGGCUGGUGUUUGGGGUUUG